rnacentral:sRNA from 1 species
GAGGAGGUGGAAGGAGCCGUGGGCAUCCUCACCAACCCUGCAGGUUCCCGGCCCUGUUCCCUGAGUCCCCCUGCUGGCUGCUGGCCACAGGUCAGGUAGCUCAAGCCAGGAAGGUCCUGUGGCGCUUUGCAGAAGCCAGCGGCGUGGACCCCGAGGACAGUUCCUUGGAGGAGAACUCCCUGGCUACAGAGCUGGCCAUGCUGUCUGCAGGGAGCCCCCAGCCCCGGUACCACAGCCUCCUGGGGCUCCUGCGCACCCGAGUCACCUGGAGAAACGGGCUUAUCUUGGGCUUCAGCUCGCUGGUUGGUGGAGGCAUCAGAGCUAACUUCCGCCGCAGCCUGGCACCUCAGGUGCCGGCCUUCUACCUGCCCUACUUUCUGGAGGCCGGCCUGGAGGCGGCAGCCUUGGUCUUCCUACUCCUGACGGCAGAUCGCUGUGGACGCCGCCUCGUCCUGCUGCUGGGCACCAUGGCCACAGGCCUGGCAUCCCUGCUGCUCCUCGCUGGGGCCCAGUAUCUGCCAGGCUGGACUGUGCUGUUCCUCUCUGUCCUGGGGCUCCUGGCCUCCCGGGCUGUGUCUGCACUCAGCAGCCUCUUUGCGGCCGAGGUCUUCCCCACCGUGAUCAGUGCUGGGGGCCGGGUUCCUGGGCCAGGCAGCCAGCCCCCUGGACACCCUGCAUGGCCGGCGGGGCUUCUUCCUGCAACAAGUCGUCUUCGCCUCCCUUGCUGUCCUUACCCUGCUGUGUGUCCUGCUGCUGCCUG